rnacentral:rRNA from 1 species
UGGGGAAUAUUGCACAAUGGGCGCAAGCCUGAUGCAGCCAUGCCGCGUGUGUGAAGAAGGCCUUCGGGUUGUAAAGCACUUUCAGCGAGGAGGAAGGUGGUGAGCUUAAUACGCUCAUCAAUUGACGUUACUCGCAGAAGAAGCACCGGCUAACUCCGUGCCAGCAGCCGCGGUAAUACGGAGGGUGCAAGCGUUAAUCGGAAUUACUGGGCGUAAAGCGCACGCAGGCGGUUUGUUAAGUCAGAUGUGAAAUCCCCGGGCUCAACCUGGGAACUGCAUUUGAAACUGGCAAGCUAGAGUCUCGUAGAGGGGGGUAGAAUUCCAGGUGUAGCGGUGAAAUGCGUAGAGAUCUGGAGGAAUACCGGUGGCGAAGGCGGCCCCCUGGACGAAGACUGACGCUCAGGUGCGAAAGCGUGGGGCAGCAAACAGGAUUAGAUACCCUGGU